GACGAAGGUGGCGAGCGUUGUUCGGAAUCAUUGGGCUUAAAGCGCACGUAGGCGGCUUAUCAAGUGUCUUGUGAAAUCCCCCGGCUCAACCGGGGAAUGGCUGGGCAUACUGAUAGGCUUGAGGCAGGUAAGGGCGAGUGGAACUCUUGGUGGAGCGGUGGAAUGCGUAGAUAUCAAGAGGAACGCCGGUGGUGAAGACGAUUCGCUGGGCCUGUCCUGACGCUGAGGUGCGAAAGCCAGGGGAGCAAACGGG
rnacentral:rRNA from 1 species